UCAAUAAGCGGAGGAAAAGAAACCAACAGGGAUUGCCCUAGUAACGGCGAGUGAAGCGGCAACAGCUCAAAUUUGAAAUCUGGCGUCUUCGGCGUCCGAGUUGUAAUUUGCAGAGGGCGCUUUGGCAUUGGCAGCGGUCCAAGUUCCUUGGAACAGGACGUCACAGAGGGUGAGAAUCCCGUACGUGGUCGCUAGCCUUUACCGUGUAAAGCCCCUUCGACGAGUCGAGUUGUUUGGGAAUGCAGCUCUAAAUGGGAGGUAAAUUUCUUCUAAAGCUAAAUACUGGCCAGAGACCGAUAGCGCACAAGUAGAGUGAUCGAAAGAUGAAAAGCACUUUGGAAAGAGAGUUAAAAAGCACGUGAAAUUGUUGAAAGGGAAGCGCUUGCAGCCAGACUUGCCUGUAGUUGCUCAUCCGGGUUUCUACCCGGUGCACUCUUCUAUAGGCAGGCCAGCAUCAGUUUGGGCGGUUGGAUAAAGGUCUCUGUCAUGUACCUCCUCUCGGGGAGAACUUAUAGGGGAGACGACAUGCAACCAGCCCGGACUGAGGUCCGCGCAUCUGCUAGGAUGCUGGCGUAAUGGCUGUAAGCGGCCCGUCUUGAAACAC
rnacentral:sRNA from 1 species